ensembl:lncRNA
ACAAUACUGAGAAUGAGUUAAGCUCCUGAAGUUCCGCAAGGAGUAUGGACGGGUUCUUAAUUAGAGUAAGGAGAACUUUAGCAAACUAGCUGACAAUCUAUAGUAUUCUUUCUAACGGGCUGGAAGGCUGAUGGGAAGGUCUCUGGGUACUCGUUAAUAGCUGGCAGACAGGUGGAAGCACGGUCUGGGCAAAGGAGGCCUCUCUGACACUUCUGCUUAAGUAAAGAAGCUAGAGCAGAAAGAAUCAGAAUUUGGAUUUUAAAAUAAACUUCUACUUAAACUCCAGAGACUGAAACACUCUUCAUUUGUAUGUGAAGUUUCUCUCUGAAGGCUUCACAUACAGAAGCAAGUAAACUGCAGUCCUGCACUCCGCACAAGACCGAUGGUGUAUGGCUGCUGCUGACUUCAAGGGGACUUUCUUGACCCCAGAGCUUUGUGGGCUAUGAAAAGGCAAAUUUCCUAUAAACUGCUUUUCUGUAUGUCUCCAGAAGGAGAGGGCUUCUCUGAAAUUAAAUGGAAAGGGUGAAAAGAAAUAAAAUGUGCCUUAGUCUCUGUAAAGACCAGAUGAUAACUAUAGUGCUACGUCUCUCCUGUGCAUAACAGGGAAGCAGACAAUAAUAAAAAGUAUAGGUAGAUCAAUCUGAACAUACAUUUCUUCAGCUCUAUAUAAUACAUGAAUCUUGAGAUCAUGCAGUCCUACGUUCAUAAGGGAUCAGCUCAUCAGUCAGUGCAUGUAAAAUAACUGCCAUCAAGCAACAUAUGUUGAAAAGAUUUCUCACAAAGAUUUAGUGUGAGCUGAAGUUUAAAAAAAUAUCUUGGUGCUGAGGAGGAACAAGCUUGAGAAUCCAAGAGGUAUGGAAGACCUGAGGAAAUGUGAACUGUAAGGCAUAUGUGUGUUGUGCUGGUGCUUAUAGCCAUUGCUGCCACCUGCAGACUCUACAUAAGGGCAAAUCUGAAAAGCAUCACUAUUCUGUGCCCCCUGGUUUUCUCUGAAAUGAAGAGAGUGGCCGUGUAGUGUCCUCCAAUGUCUCCCUCAGUCUCGGCAUUUAGAUACCUGUAUGACAGAGGCUCGUUUGGGUGUCCAGCCCACAGCAGAGACACGUCCAGGAAGAGUUUGUACUAGCCAAUAACCUCUCAACAUAACUUCACCUUACAAACCUGUGGUGUUAUGCUCUGUAAAAGCAAGUGAUCUGCUGGUCUUUCUGUUAUAUUUUUUAUUGCUUAUUUUUCUCACUUCCCUACUAUUCAUGGUUGUGACCUCAUAAGAUUUAUUGAGUUCAAAGAGAAAACUUGAGGGGCUGCAAAGGUGAUACUAGAGAAGGUCCCAAAAACAUGAGCAGUGUUCUCCCCCAUAGUCUGUAUUGAUUUAGUGCCCUGGAAUGGGCUUGCCUCCUGGAAAUGCUGCCUCUUCAAUUACAGAUUAAGUUAAAGGCUUACUACUUGCAAGAACAGAACUGUGUAAGUCUUCCAUGAUUUAAUCUGAAAGAAUGUGUAUACAUAUAUGCCUUUGAUUUCAGAUAUGCAGAUGUAAAGGAGGAGGAUGAUCUUGCACUAGGAAAUGGAGGUGAAGUAGACCUGGUUUCAUUUCCUGCCUGUACCACAGGCUUGCCAUGUAAUCUAAGAUAGGCUACUAAACUCUUUGGUCACUAUUACAGGCCCUGUAAAAUGGGGAUAACAAUAUUUUCUUUUGCUUUAUAUGUCCCUAUUCUUGCCUAGUAAAAUAGUAUGCUUUCUGGCUUAACGUAUUUGGGGACGUGUUUGUAUGGUAAAUAAGCAAGCAUGUGAACGUGGUACUCUCUUUCCAAGACUUCCUAUCUGUGCAUAUCCAGGACUCACUCACAAAUGCAAACUGGCCAUGAAUGUGAGUGCUUGCACAAGUCUGUCUGCCUGUUCAUCUGGUUGCAGGUAUGUUCAGGUCAGCCAGUGUUCUGGAGUUGCUUCUGACUGGAAUUCAUGAAUAAAAAAGCAAUUUUCGGCACCUAGUAGUUCAAUUAGAGUUAAGGAACAUUUUUCAUGUUCAUUAUCAACAAAUGAGGAGGGUUAUCAUAUGCCUCUAUGACUUAGGUUGUUUGCCUGAAAUAUGAGAUUUGAUUAGAAUCCCUAAUCUAGUUCUGCCAGCUUUCUAGUAUAUUACAGGUGGGGAACCAGUCACAUCAGAAAUUAAGAGUUAUUCCUCUCUCUGCUUCAGUGGAAACUCUAGAGUAAUUAAUAACAUUUUAAUGUAACUAACAAUCAACUGGGAAUUCUUAAGUGCUAUUUUCAUGACAAAUUGUAAAUGCUGUGAACGGCCACACUGCACCUUAUGAUUCUGCUCAGGCAAUUUCCUUAUAGCUAUAGAAUGCUACAAGUCAUUCAGGCAGAGUAAAACAUUUAUGGCCAAUUUUAAUGCACACCUCAUAAAAAUCAUUACUGUGAAUUAAUGAGUAGAAAUACAUUUGAAUCCAGGCCUGAUAAUGUGAUAGAGUUGAGGGUAGAAAUGGAGUUAUUUAUACUUCUUUGUGAAUAAGCAUCAGAAAUAAAGAUUUUUAUCAUGUAUUCUGACUAAAUCAAAUUUGAAUAAAUAUAUACAUUCUUUCC